UCUCAGUUCGGAUCGGAGUCUGNAACCCGACUCCGUGAAGCUGGAUUCGCUAGUAAUCGCGCAUCAGCCAUGGCGCGGUGAAUACGUUCCCGGGCCUUGUACACACCGCCCGUCACACCAUGGAAGUUGGGGGUGCCCAAAGUCGGUUAGAAAAUAAACUGCCUAAGGCAAAACCAAUGACUGGGGUGAAGUCGUAACAAGGUAAC
rnacentral:rRNA from 1 species